UACGGAGGGUGCAAGCGUUACUCGGAAUCACUGGGCGUAAAGAGCGCGUAGGCGGGAUAGCAAGUCAGAUGUGAAAUCCUAUGGCUUAACCAUAGAACUGCAUUUGAAACUGUUAUUCUAGAGUAUGGGAGAGGUAGGUGGAAUUCUUGGUGUAGGGGUAAAAUCCGUAGAGAUCAAGAGGAAUACUCAUUGCGAAGGCGACCUGCUAGAACAUAACUGACGCUGAUGCG
rnacentral:rRNA from 1 species